UGGAGGAUCUAGCAAAUGCCUAG
rnacentral:miRNA from 1 species